ACAGGAGGAAGAAAUCAUAUAUUAUAUAAAAUUGUUGGAUUACAACAGUGGAUAUUACAGGAGGAACAUCAUCCAAAUGUGAUGCAUAAUCUAAAUAUUUUCUUGACAACAAAAUGAAAACCAAAAGCAUCCCUCAACAUCACUACAACUUAACUAAAACUUAACAGAGGAACAUCAUUCCUACAACUUAACUAAAAUUGAAAGCAUCCAGCAUCAUAAUCAUCAUCAUUAUCAUCAUCAGUAUAUUUGCCACAUACCCAUAUAAUCAUCCAUUUAUCUUUUGAACCUACAAACAAAAAGCAAAAUGACUGUUAACACACAAUGCAUUAGCAAAAAACCAAAAAAAAACGAAUAACUUUCUGUGGUAAUGUAAGUGUAAUUAGAGAACGUGUAAUACAUUUUGAACAUCUCACAACGGGUCCUGUUAUGUCAUGGAUUCAGAUGAAAAAAAAGAUGGCCACUAUGGGAUGAUAAAACUGGAAACUCAAACUAAAAUAUUCCAAGGAAUAUUUAGAAGGGACCAUGUAUCUAUGUUUCUGUAGAAAGACGCGUUUUGGCUCCUGUAUAUGGAAUGAACACUUAAAAGGAGGACAUUUAUUUUGUUUUGGUGAUAUACAGAAGAUCCAUUGAAAUGUUCUAUAGACAACACAAAAGAGAUGACUGGUUUUUCCGUUUGGUCUACCAUUUUUACACCAUAAAAUGCGAGGCAGACAACCUGGAUUUCUGGUUCAUUUAUGUUGAAGAGUUUCCAAAGAAACCGAUUGUAAGACUUAACAAAUGCAUAUGUACGCAUAUGAAAUACAUGGUAUACAUACUCAUCUAGAAGAUAUAUUUUUCGCGCGUGAUACAUACAUGUAGCUUAAUUGUUUCCCUUUUAAAUAGUAUAUCAAACUCAUGGAUUAAUUAAUAGAUUUAUUUCGCUCGUACUGAUUUGAGAUGGUUUUGCUCUCUUUCGUAUACGGUCAAAACAAAAACAUAGAUUUAGAGCUUAAAAAAACAUAGAUCAUAUACUACACAUACCAAUAUCAAAAAAUGCGUGGCUGUGCAUAUACGUAUUGUAAGCAUCAUUAAUCCUCUUUUAGCUUAGCCCCACUGAAACUAAUCAUAUGAUCCAUGCUCUCCAAACUUAUAUGAGCUCCUCAUCCAUGCAUCAUGCAAAAAGGUGUAAAGUAGUAAAUAAGAUAUUGUCCUAGAAAUCAAACCUCUAGUCCAGUACGUGCGUGUAUAAAAUAGAACAGUAUGAAGCCAAUACCUACACACCUGGAGGCACGGGAUGCAGCCAAAGCGCAGAUGAGAAGUUCAUUCAGCCAUUAUACGUCCUCGGUCGGGGCUCUCAACUUGAUUAUCCUCUUCAUCGCCUGGGCUUUCGUCAGGUGAUCUGUAAUGAUGUGCUCAGUGAGCUUCCUUUUUUUGUUACUGACCUUUUCCUAUUAUGUGAAAAGGAAGAAUUGUGGAAAACAGGUUACACACUUUCAACAUGAAUCAGAAGCAUACAGCAUGAGUCUUUCCUUUAGUAUAUUUUCCAUUAUAUGAGAAUGGAAAUACAUGUAUGCAAGAUCAUAUUUUGUGCUUAACGAAAUAAAUGGAGACUCAACUUAUCUACUCACAAUGCGUGCCUAGUAACUGCACAUGUAUGUAUAACAUAUAUAUGAACUACAACAAACAUACAGUUUAGUAUCAUGGAUUCAGUCAGCGAAUUACAAAAACCAGAUCUUAAUUUCAUAACAGCUCUUCCUAAGCAAGUUCUAGCACCAUAAAUGUUCUUAAUUAUUUAGUACAUCAAUUUAACAAAAGAACGGCAUUAAAACAAACCAAGCAGACAAAUAUAUGAGGAAAGAGGUUAACUUAGAAUCAUUUUUUGAUCUCGCGUGUAGUUUCAAAUAAAUACUGUUACGGUGCCACUGCCACCUUGACCUCCUGAUGCAUAUACCUUCAAGUCUGCAAUAACACUAUCAAAGAUAUUCCAUCUGAACAGAGUAGUUUGUGCUUUUAAGCUGUGGAUCACUGGGUGAGGAUAAAAUUGAAAGAACAUUUCAAGUAAACAAACCCGUACCUUUUGCAUGUAAGGAACAUAGCGAAGUACAUUGAACAAAUCGUGUACUGCUCCAAACCGACUUAUCCACUUUCCAACAAUAUUAGAAGUGGUGCUUGAGUUUGCUGUGCAGAGGUACGACCACGCCUUCGCUGAAUUGAAUCACCUAAUUGCUUGUAUAGCACAAAUUUAGCCAUCCAAGUAGUACGUAGCUUCAGAUGUCUGAAAUUAAAGAAAGCACAUUAUCAAUAUUCCCCAAAACAAAACUCUAGGCUGUACGUCCCAGAUUUCAGUAGCACAACACAACAUAAAAAUCAUCAAAAGCAAAAAACCUACUCUCUUCUUGCUCCUUCUGUACCUGCGGCCAGCCUGCAAUAGUUCCUCUUCUCGGCAACUUCACCAACAAUAGGGGCUGUCCAAUCAGAUACAAACUGUCUUUGAUGUACCGCCUUUUCCGCUGCAUUGGAUUUCAGUUUUGGUUGGGCAUGGAAUGCGAAAUUGGAAGGAUGUCCUGGUGCAGUGGAUAUUAAUGUUGGAAGACCGUUCGUUCUCAUGUAACUAAUGGACCGAGUCCUACGUAGUUAGGCGCUCUAUCCACUCCUCUCACGACUCGCACGUUGUGCAUGCCCUCGUAUAGCUCGGGC
rnacentral:lncRNA from 1 species